UACGCAGGGUGCAAGCGUUGUCCGGAAUUAUUGGGCGUAAAGAGCUCGUAGGCGGUUUGUCGCGUCGUCCGUGAAAACCAGUGGCUUAGCCAUUGGCUUGCGGGCGAUACGGGCAGACUUGAGUAUUGCAGGGGAGACUGGAAUUCCUGGUGUAGCGGUGGAAUGCGCAGAUAUCAGGAGGAACACCGAUGGCGAAGGCAGGUCUCUGGGCCACUACUGACGCUGAGAAGCGAAAGCAUGGGGAGCGAACAGG
rnacentral:rRNA from 1 species